UACAGAGGGGGCAAGCGUUGUUCGGAAUUACUGGGCGUAAAGGGCGCGUAGGCGGCCUGUUAAGUCGAACGUGAAAUCCCUGGGCUCAACCCAGGAACUGCGUCCGAUACUGGUUGGCUUGAAUCCGGGAGAGGGAUGCGGAAUUCCAGGUGUAGCGGUGAAAUGCGUAGAUAUCUGGAGGAACACCGGUGGCGAAGGCGGCAUCCUGGACCGGCAUUGACGCUGAGGCGCGAAAGCCAGGGGAGCAAACGGG
rnacentral:rRNA from 1 species